GACGAACGCUGGCGGCGUGCUUAACACAUGCAAGUCGAACGGAAAGGCCCAGCUUGCUGGGUACUCGAGUGGCGAACGGGUGAGUAACACGUGGGUGAUCUGCCCUGCACUCUGGGAUAAGCCUGGGAAACUGGGUCUAAUACCGGAUAUGACCGACUGUCGCAUGGUGGGUGGUGGAAAGCUUUUGCGGUGUGGGAUGGGCCCGCGGCCUAUCAGCUUGUUGGUGGGGUAAUGGCCUACCAAGGCGACGACGGGUAGCCGACCUGAGAGGGUGAUCGGCCACACUGGGACUGAGACACGGCCCAGACUCCUACGGGAGGCAGCAGUGGGGAAUAUUGCACAAUGGGCGCAAGCCUGAUGCAGCGACGCCGCGUGAGGGAUGACGGCCUUCGGGUUGUAAACCUCUUUCACCAGGGACGAAGCGUGAGUGACGGUACCUGGAGAAGAAGCACCGGCCAACUACGUG
rnacentral:rRNA from 1 species